rnacentral:lncRNA from 1 species
CGGGACAAGGACAACGAGUGAAAAUUUCGCUAAGCGUUGGCAUGGGGAGUGUAGAAGACAUUGUAACUUUUAUACAGGACCCCCCUUUUUAUCCCAGUUUGUAACUACAACUCGGAUUAAAGGACAUUUAACCCCGGUUCCUAAUACAAACCGAGAUAAAAGGGGGGCCUUUUAUCUCUGUUUAUGAUCACCCGCGAUAAAAGGCCCCCCCCUUUUAUCUCG